AUGACCGGCAUUAUAGAAAGAAAGAGCUCAAUACCUGUAUUUUGCAUGCUGUGUCUCAGCUGCUGUGGUGGAACAGUAAUGCAGGCCAUGGGAAAUAACAAUGGGAGCAACAGUCCCUGUGGAAAGGAGACCAUGAUGUUCUGCUCUCAAAUUCACUCUGGGUAAUUAUUUCAUCAGUGCUGUCCUCAAAAAGCAAGAGAACCUGCUCCAAAGUGCUUUCAAAGUCAAGGCGAGGGAGGAAUGUUGACAGAGAGAGGUAGCACUUUCUCUUAAACCAAGUAACACAGCUGAAGGAAAAAAAAAAAUCCAACAAGCUUUCAGCAAGACAAAAUCCAACAAACCUUCUGCAAGGAAGAGGCAGAGUGCUUCCCUGUGUGGAUGCUCUGCAGAGACUGCCUAGUCCAUCACAGAUUUCCUCUGAAUAACUAUUUUUUAUUUUGUACUUUUGGAAGGGAGAAAGGUAAGUAAGAUAAGCUGCUAACUUUCCUUUCUGUUUAUGCACAGACAUCAAAAGCUGGAGCAGGCCAUCUGCUGUCAGUAGGUUUGGCAGAGAGGGCAGGUAAAAUCCAGUCUGCAGCCUGCAUGCUUUGUACCAUUUCAGUUACAAUUCUAGGUGCGAAUGACGAUUUGUAAAACUGAAAUUGUGUUUUGGAGUGUAUUAAAAUUGAGAAAAGAAUCAUAGAACAAUUAAAGUUGUAAAGAUCCUCAGAAGGUCAUCUGGUGCAACCCUCUCCUAUAAUGGUGGAUUUACUUGACAGCCUAAACAGGCUACAGCUAUGCUACUUAUACUGUACUGUACGGUGCAAGCUCUUUAGACAAAUCAUGUUGUGUAGUAGCAGCUUCAUACCUAUCCUCUUCGGUCUGCCACCUAAAAAGCAGCUGUGUGUGGCAAUGGUCAGUUAACAGGAAGAUUUAAAGUCAUUAUGCUAGUCUUGCACUUUUUUACUUACUGAGGACAAGAUAAGCUUUCCUUCCUUUCUUUUUUACCCUUUUCCCUUUCUGCUAUUUACCGAAACGUUGAUAUAUAAUGUAUGAAAACACAUUGUGUAUAUCCUUGCCUUCUGUACUGUUAAAGCAGCACAAAUGAGUUCUCUUGGGUUGUGCUGGAAGUCAGGGAUCCCUGAUUCCCUGUCCUGUAACUCUGUAAACCCUGGACUGCAUAAAUUGUUGCAGAAUCAGAUUUAAGAAAAAAACAAUAUAUUUGGUCAUAAGAGUCUAUUAAAAAAGCAUAACCAAAGAAAAUCCUAACAACUUAAAAAGUGUCAGUGGCAGCAAUGAAACCCACUUUCAGAUUCUGUCUUCUAAAUAUCAGUCUUCUGAAACUUUACAAGCUUUGGUUUUACCAGUUUUCUGAAUGACUGCCACCUAAGCAAAUUUGAGUAAUGAACCAUUCAGAUGUCUUGAUAAAACAGGAUAUAAGGGAAGAAAUUAUAAUGACCCCAAGAGUACCACACAUAGGUACACAAAAUGUAGGCAACUUUAUUUACCAAAGCUGAAUAGAGGCUGUCAGUUAAUAUUGGCUAUUCUGCUAGUUCUCCAUCAGUUCAUUGCAAUUGCAUGGAGUUUUGUAUUUAAUCUUUGUACUCAGUUAUGUUGGUUUUCUUUUUUUUUCUUUUUUUUUUUUUCUUCUGUGUUUCCAUGAAGGGGUUAAUCCAGGUAGAAAUUAAGGGACAUCCCAAAAGAUGUCCUGCUGUGGAAACAAAAGGAAGGAAGUAGGAAGGAGGUUGUUCAGACAAGCAUGUUUGCACAAGUAGAUCCGAGAGAUGUUGGAUUUUAAGUAGCAAUUAUUAGAUUGAAGACCUUAAUUCCUCUUGACAAACUGAAGAGGUCUGAUACUGUGUGGAUAGGGUUUAUAUUAAAUGGGGUUCCUUCCAGGCCAUGUGGAACGUCUGCAUAAGAGCAGCAAUGAUUUCUAAGGUGCCAGCCAUUGCUCUACUCUAUGAAAAGUUUCAAGCUUUUUCUCUGCUUUAUUAUUUCUGUCUCAGAAUGUAAAACUUUACACAUGCACUAAAAUAUGAAUAUAUUUAAUAGGAUUGAGGUGUAAAUGAUAUUUUGAUGAAAAUCUAGUUACAGGGAUGUAGCAUCUUUGUGGAUGUAGGAUUAACUGCUAUUGUUCUAGCUGAAACUGUAGCUUAAUCCCGACAAAAACAGUAACAUCAAGAGGUUUUGGUCUAUGAAUAAGAAGAGAUACAGCACAUUUGGGGCUUUAGGGUCUGUGCUUAAUCAAACUUAAUAGUUCCGAGAAGUCCAUAAGUAUCUAGCAUAAAAAAUAUUUACUAUGUACUAGAAUUAAACAUGAAUGCUUCCUACAGAAGUCAUUAAAAAGGGAAACAGUCUGAAAGUUGAAGUUAAAACUGACUUAUGUAACUUUUAUACAGGUGGAGUCAGCAGUGGGUAACUGCAGAAAUAAAUUGUAACUUCAGUCAUGCUUCUGAAGCA
ensembl:lncRNA